AAUUUCAAUUAGACGAUAAACGAAAGGUCUACCACCCUAUCGAUGGUGUUUCGAGCGUACGAAUGGUACGAAUAACCGACUAGAAUUGCGGAGCAUGGAGUUGGCUUGCAAGUGCAAGUUAGCUGCUAGCUACUACCUGCUUCAAAUACGACCUGGCAUCCACGACUACAUGCAUGGCGUAGUUACGUACUACUUGCCCUGUUUGGGAUUCUCGCCUUCCGAUUAGACCAGGAUAAGUUCUUCUGCUCUGCAAUUUCAGAACGCUGGAAAUGUACGCUCCAUAUACAACACUAUGGUUACACCGUGGAGAAUCGACCGAGUUCUCGCCGCUCUGUGACAACUUUGAGGCAACUCUUCAGGCACACCUGUUUUUUAUUGUCACCAAGCCGCAUACGUGGCAUAGAAUAAACCCGAUAGUCAAUGGUUUCCUCGUGUGCUGCGUUUUGGAGGGUCAGGCGACUCCGAAUGUGUGAAAUUCUACAAUUACGCGAGAACAAUGCGAUAUUCUAUCAUUAUCGAUAUCGCUCGUCGUAGACAAUCUAUCAUAUUGGCGGCAACGGUUUUGAAAAAGAAAUAAAUAUAUAGCAAGUAUCAUCGAGAAGACAGCGGGUAACGAGUAAAUGAUAAAAAUUAAAUUUUCCUAAAUUAUGUAUAUUCUUUAAGACGCGAGGCUUAGGAUAAUACACAGAAGGUUAAGUAAAACUUUUAUAUUUUAGCUUCUAAAUGAGCAACUACCUCGAGUACGGUAAACAGUAAAGGCGGGCAAAUAAACUCGACUAAGCAACUGCUAUCUUGUACAGAAGUGUAACUGAAAUGAAAACAAGAGCAUCUUCUUAAAGCAUGCUCUUUAAGAGUUACAGAACUAUACAGUCGUUUGAAAAUGUCCGUGUUUUCUUCUGUUAUUUUAAACCCAAACAUCUACCGUAGAAUCGAGGAUUUUAGGAAAUGAAGCCAAAUUUGCUAAGUGAAACUUUGCAUGGUGAAACCCUGAUGUCGAAAGCGAAACAUAGAAUGUAUUCGUCGAACGUAAUUAUAAAUACCGUUUGACUGUCAUGAAAAAUUCGAAUCAUUGUACAACAAGAAAUACGCUACAACGUAACUAGUCGUUAACGUUCUUAUGUCUGCCUGUUAAUAGCCUUACAUGAAACAAGAAGAACAAUACUCUACCAGACAAUAUUAAAUCGCGAUAUAGUAAUAUCUUUAUAGAUGAUAUUUCUAUAUCUAUUUGAUUCGCUUUCGCUCGUUAUUAUCUUUUCUUACUGAUAUUACUACUACGCUGAGAAAUCGAAUUAUGUGUAUAAAACUUUAUAUUGCGCAUCAUAUCUACACACAGGGUGUUUGGCUACAAGUGUCAGGAAAUUUAAGGGAUGAUUCUUGACACCGAAAUAAGACAAAAAUCAAGAAUAAUAAAAUUGCGUUUUCGGCUUUGUUGUUUAGUUACUGGCAAUUAAAAAUACCCCUGCACGCGAGCA
rnacentral:misc_RNA from 1 species